UGGGAGGACAACAAACGCGGGUCUGGCGGAGAGCGGCGGCGCUCGGAGACCGCGAGGCGACCGGGAGCGGCUGGGCCCCCGGCGGCGCGCCCCUCGGCCGGGCCGGGAGCCGCGUCAGUCGGUGCCCCCAGCCGAACGCGGUUCGCCUCCCUCCGAGCGAUCAGCUGUCCGGAGUGUGACCAGAGGGCAUGCGGGAUCCACCAGAGGUGCCGCCGCCUGCUCUCGCAGGCCGCGGAUGAAGAAGAAAGCGCGGCCUCGCUCGGCCGGGAGCGAAGAGGUGACCCGGAACGAAGAGGUGUCCCGGAGCGAAGAGGUGGUCCGAAGCGAAGAGGCGGCCCUGAGUGAAGAGGUGGCCCGGAGCGAGGAAAUG
rnacentral:other from 1 species